rnacentral:rRNA from 1 species
AAGGGAGAGUAACACGCGGGUACCUGCCCUCGGGACCGGGAUAGCUGCGGGAAACUGCAAUUAAUACCGGAUAAUGUCCCCGGACCAAAUGGUGUGAUUCCGCCUGAGGAGGGGCCCACGUCCUAUCAGCUGGUUGGUGAGGUAACGGCUCACCAAGGCAACGACGGGUACGGGGUGUGAGAGCAUGCCCCCGCUCACUGGGACUGAGACACUGCCCAGACACCUACGGGUGGCUGCAGUCGAGAAUCUUCCGCAAUGGGCGAAAGCCUGACGGAGCGACGCCGCGUGCGGGAUGAAGGCCUUCGGGUUGUAAACCGCUGUCAGAGGGGAACAAGUUCAUGGGGGUUCUCCCCUGUGUUUGAGUGAUCCUCAGAGGAAGCGCAGGCUAAGUCCGUGCCAGCAGCCGCGGUAACACGGACUGCGCGAACGUUAUUCGGAAUCACUGGGCUUAAAGCGUCCGUAGGCGGCCGUGCAGGUGGGGUGUGAAAUCCCUCGGCUUAACCGAGGAAUUGCGCUCCAAACCACAUGGCUUGAGAGAGAUAGAGGUGAGCGGAACUCACGGU